CUGGUACUAGUGUAUGGGGAAGCACGAGACAUUUGGGAUGUUUUAGGCGGAGUUCGAGUCUCCGGUACCGGAC
rnacentral:tRNA from 1 species